rnacentral:lncRNA from 13 species
AUGCCCCGUGCCCCAAGAGCCAGUGUGACGCGUGCCCAGCCUGAGAGCCAGCGUGACGCGUGCCCUGAGAGCCAGUGUGCUGCUCCUCCCAGGAUGACCUUCCAGGCCUCUGGGAUGAGCGUAUCCCCAGGAGCUGCUCCUCUGUUCAGCUUCAUCCAGGCCUGUGCCUCUGAAGGCUUGAGGGUGUGCACUGUGCAGACCCCGUGUCCACUGCUGGCCGUGGAGGCUCCGGCGUCUGGAGAGGGUCUUGAGCACCCUGGGAGCCGCCACUCACCAGUUUUCUCUGCAAAGGUUCGUGACGAUGCCGUGACUGAGCUUAGAAAGGGACUUUUAUCUGCACAAAAUGCUUUGGAUGUUUUGUGUGUCUCCUUCACUUCGCUUCUGGAAAAGAUGGCUCAGGACAAUCUACAGGCAUCUUUCUUCUUCUGAAGCCAGGAGUGCCUCGUUCCCUCCCUCCCGUCCUCCCAGCCUCCCUCCCCACCUCCCUUCCUCCCUCCCAUUCAACCUCCUUCCCUCCCUCCCUUCCUCCCUUCCUUCCUCCCUUCCUGUUUUGCUCUGUUGCCCAGGCUGGACGGAAGUGGUGCAAUCUUAGCUCCCUACCACCACUGUGUUCAAGCAAUUCUCCCUCAGCCACCUGACUAGCUGGGAUUGCAGGUACCUGCCACCACACCCAGGUAAUUUUCACCAUGUUGGCCAGGCUGGUCUUGAACUCCUGACCUCAGGUAAUCCACCUGCCUUGACCUCCCAAGGUGCUAGGAUUACAGGCGUGAGCCACUGUGCUGGCCAAGAGCCACUUUCUAAAGUAACCUUUGGGCAGCUGCCCCCACCUGGGCCCUGGUCCCCUCCCAGCUCCUGGGGCUCCUCCACCUUGCAGGGCUCUCCCAAGGAGGCCUAGCCUGCCCACCCCACUCUCUGCCUGGAUGGAGGCUCUCUCCCUGCCCAUUCUGGCCUUGGUGACACCGAGGACUUGUCUCCAUGUCCCAGGUGAGCCUGUCCUUUCUCUGCCCUUCAGAGCCACACGCAAGCAGGCCCCAGACCAGCGGCAGAGUUAUUCUGCCUCUACACCACCGCCCCCUUCUCAGCAAAGACCCGGCACAUCCUGCCCCUGCUCCUCCCCCGGCUCCAGAGAGAGCUGCCCCGCGAUCGACACACACACUGGUGUCCGGGGACCCACACCACCCCUCUGUAUCCGUGGGUUCCAUAUCCAUGGGUUCAACCGAGGACAGAAAAUAUUAGGAAAAACAAUUCCCCAAAGCACAACUCGAAUGCGCCUCAGCACGUUCUGCCUCGAAUGUGUGCGGAUAUGUGAGUGAGGCCGUAAUGUGGACAAUACACUGUAGAGAUGGCGUAAGUGUUCGGACCUGUGUGGGUUACCACACAUGCCAACCGCUUCCCGUCAGGGGCUUGAGCACCUGUGGAUUUUGGUAUU